UAUAUUUCUCGGUAUUCUAGGCUCGGCCUUACAAUAUAACAAACAAGUUUGACCUCAAAUCAGGUAGGAUUACCCGCUGAACUUAAGCAUAUCAAUAAGCGGAGGAAAAGAAACCAACAGGGAUUGCCUUAGUAACGGCGAGUGAAGCGGCAAAAGCUCAAAUUUGAAAUCUGGCACCUUCGGUGUCCGAGUUGUAAUUUGAAGAAGGUAACUUUGGAGUUGGCUCUUGUCUAUGUUCCUUGGAACAGGACGUCACAGAGGGUGAGAAUCCCGUGCGAUGAGAUGCCCAAUUCUAUGUAAAGUGCUUUCGAAGAGUCGAGUUGUUUGGGAAUGCAGCUCUAAGUGGGUGGUAAAUUCCAUCUAAAGCUAAAUAUUGGCGAGAGACCGAUAGCGAACAAGUACAGUGAUGGAAAGAUGAAAAGAACUUUGAAAAGAGAGUGAAAAAGUACGUGAAAUUGUUGAAAGGGAAGGGCUUGAGAUCAGACUUGGUAUUUUGCGAUCCUUUCCUUCUUGGUUGGGUUCCUCGCAGCUUACUGGGCCAGCAUCGGUUUGGAUGGUAGGAUAAUGACUAAGGAAUGUGGCUCUACUUCGGUGGAGUGUUAUAGCCUUGGUUGAUACUGCCUGUCUA
rnacentral:rRNA from 1 species